AGAAAGGGAUUGCUUGCAAUCCUGAGUAGAGUGGCGCACGGGUGAGUAACACGUAGAUAAUCUACCUUUGAACCCGGGAUAACUAAUCGAAAGGUUAGCUAAUACCGGAUGAAGUUAAUCGGCAGAAGUUGAUUGAUGAAAGAUUGCCUAUCCUUGGAAGCAAUUGUUUGGAGAUGAGUUUGCGGACCAUUAGCUUGUUGGUGGGGUAAAGGCCUACCAAGGCGAUGAUGGUUAGCUGGUCUGAGAGGAUGAUCAGCCACACUGGAACUGAAACACGGUCCAGACUCCUACGGGAGGCAGCAGUGAGGAAUUUUGCGCAAUGGGGGCAACCCUGACGCAGCAACGCCGCGUGAGUGAAGAAGGCCUUUGGGUCGUAAAGCUCUGUCAACCGGGAAGAAGUUAUUGUUAUCCAAUAGGUAGCAGUAUUGACGGUACCGG
rnacentral:rRNA from 1 species